rnacentral:rRNA from 1 species
UACGUAGGGUGCAAGCGUUGUCCGGAAUUAUUGGGCGUAAAGAGCUCGUAGGUGGUUUGUUACGUCUGCUGUGAAAACCUAGGGCUUAACCCUGGGCUUGCAGUGGAUACGGGCAGACUAGAGGUAGGUAGGGGAGAAUGGAAUUCCUGGUGUAGCGGUGAAAUGAGCAGAUAUCAGGAGGAACACCGGUGGCGAAGGCGGUUCUCUGGGCCUUACCUGACACUGAGGAGCGAAAGCGUGGGGAGCGAACAGG